UGGGGAAUUUUGGACAAUGGGCGAAAGCCUGAUCCAGCAAUGCCGCGUGAGUGAAGAAGGCCUUCGGGUUGUAAAGCUCUUUUGUCAGGGAAGAAACGGUGAGAGCUAAUAUCUUUUGCUAAUGACGGUACCUGAAGAAUAAGCACCGGCUAACUACGUGCCAGCAGCCGCGGUAAUACGUAGGGUGCAAGCGUUAAUCGGAAUUACUGGGCGUAAAGCGUGCGCAGGCGGUUUUGUAAGUCUGAUGUGAAAUCCCCGGGCUCAACCUGGGAAUUGCAUUGGAGACUGCAAGGCUAGAAUCUGGCAGAGGGGGGUAGAAUUCCACGUGUAGCAGUGAAAUGCGUAGAUAUGUGGAGGAACACCGAUGGCGAAGGCAGCCCCCUGGGUCAAGAUUGACGCUCAUGCACGAAAGCGUGGGGAGCAAACAGGAUUAGAUACCCCAGUAGUCCCUGAGCGGGCUGGCAAGGCGCAU
rnacentral:rRNA from 1 species